GACGAACGCUGGCGGCGUGCUUAACACAUGCAAGUCGAACGGACAGGCCCUGCUCUUGUUGCGUUCUCGAGUGCCGCACGGGUGAGUAUCACGUGUGUAACCUGUCCUUGACUUUGGGAUAACUUUAGGAAACACGGGCUAAUAUCGCAUAGGAGCUCCUGCUGCAUGGUGGUGGUUGGAAGGUUUCGGCGGUUGGGGCUGGACUCGAGGCUUCUCAGCUUGUUGGUCGGGUAGUGGCUUACCAAGGUUGCGACGGCUAGCCGGCAUGGGCGGGGGACCGGGGACAUGGGGACUGAGGUACGGCCCAGAAGCGAACGGGAGGCAGCGGGGGAGAAUAUGACACAAUGGGCGGAAGCCUGAUGCAGCGACGCCGCGUGCGGAAUGACGGCCUUCGGGGGGUAAACCGCUUUGGCCGUAGACGAAGCGUGAGUGACGGUAAUGGGUAAAGAAGCACCGGCUAACUACGUG
rnacentral:rRNA from 1 species